CUUUGUCCCUAANGGUCAGANUGANGGUCCAGNUAGGAGCGCUUUCGCCACCGGNAUGUUUCUUCCCAAUCUCUACGCAUUUCACCGCUACACUGGGAAUUCCCUCUACCCCUACCNUNCUCUAGCUAUUCAGUUUCCACCGCCUAUCCAGAGUUAAGCUCCGGUCUUUGACAGCAGACUUGAANAGCCACCUGCGGACGCUUUACGCCCAAUAAUUCCGGAUAACGCUUGCCUCCUCCGUAUUACCGCGGCUGCUGGCACGGAGUUAGCCGAGGCUUAUUCCUCAGGUACCGUCAGAACUUCUUCCCUGAGAAAAGAGGUUUACAAUCCAAAAACCUUCUUCCCUCACGCGGUAUUGCUCCGUCAGGCUUGCGCCCAUUGCGGAAAAUU
rnacentral:rRNA from 1 species